rnacentral:rRNA from 1 species
CACUCCUGCGGGAGGCAGCAGUGGGGAAUAUUGGACAAUGGGCGCAAGCCUGAUCCAGCCAUGCCGCGUGAGUGAUGAAGGCCCUAGGGUUGUAAAGCUCUUUCACCGGAGAAGAUAAUGACGGUAUCCGGAGAAGAAGCCCCGGCUAACUUCGUGCCAGCAGCCGCGGUAAUACGAAGGGGGCUAGCGUUGUUCGGAAUUACUGGGCGUAAAGCGCACGUAGGCGGAUCGAUCAGUCAGGGGUGAAAUCCCAGGGCUCAACCCUGGAACUGCCUUUGAUACUGUCGAUCUGGAGUAUGGAAGAGGUGAGUGGAAUUCCGAGUGUAGAGGUGAAAUUCGUAGAUAUUCGGAGGAACACCAGUGGCGAAGGCGGCUCACUGGUCCAUUACUGACGCUGAGGUGCGAAAGCGUGGGGAGCAAACAGGAUUAGAAACCCCUGUAGUCCCA